GACGAACGCUGGCGGCGUGCUUAACACAUGCAAGUCGAACGGAAAGGCCCUGCUUUUGUGGGGUGCUCGAGUGGCGAACGGGUGAGUAACACGUGAGUAACCUGCCCUUGACUUUGGGAUAACUUCAGGAAACUGGGGCUAAUACCGGAUAGGAGCUCCUGCUGCAGGGUGGGGGUUGGAAAGUUUCGGCGGUUGGGGAUGGACUCGCGGCUUAUCAGCUUGUUGGUGGGGUAGUGGCUUACCAAGGCUUUGACGGGUAGCCGGCCUGAGAGGGUGACCGGCCACAUUGGGACUGCGGUACGGCGCAGACUCCUACGUGAGGCAGCAGUGGGGAAUAUUGCACAAUGGGCGGAAGCCUGAUGCAGCAACGCCGCGUGCGGGAUGACGGCCUUCGGGUUGUAAACCGCUUUAGCCUGUGACGAAGCGUGAGUGACGGUAAUGGGUAAAGAAGCACCGGCUAACUACGUG
rnacentral:rRNA from 1 species